GAUGAACGCUGGCGGCGUGCCUAAUACAUGCAAGUCGAGCGAACGGACGAGAAGCUUGCUUCUCUGAUGUUAGCGGCGGACGGGUGAGUAACACGUGGAUAACCUACCUAUAAGACUGGGAUAACUUCGGGAAACCGUAGCUAAUACCGGAUAAUAUUUUGAACCGCAUGGUUCAAAAGUGAAAGACGGUCUUGCUGUCACUUAUAGAUGGAUCCGCGCUGCAUUAGCUAGUUGGUAAGGUAACGGCUUACCAAGGCAACGAUGCAUAGCCGACCUGAGAGGGUGAUCGGCCACACUGGAACUGAGACACGGUCCAGACUCCUACGGGAGGCAGCAGUAGGGAAUCUUCCGCAAUGGGCGAAAGCCUGACGGAGCAACGCCGCGUGAGUGAUGAAGGUCUUCGGAUCGUAAAACUCUGUUAUUAGGGAAGAACAUAUGUGUAAGUAACUGUGCACAUCUUGACGGUAACUAAUCAGAAAGCCACGGCUAACUACGUG
rnacentral:rRNA from 1 species